UCUAAAGCUCUCAAGCAAACAACAGGCUCAUACUUUUUGAUAAAAUAAAAUUAAUCUCACUACGUACUAACUGAAAUGUUCCUUUCUUGUUUAUGAAGGUGAAGUCCGAUUAGCAGUGACAUUGGAGUGAUUUGACAUAUUUUGUGCAAAUUUUCAGCAAAGCCAAGUCCUAUCAGCAGUGAAAUUGGAGUGUGAUCUGACUGUUUUGCGCAAAUCUUUACAAAAGUUCUUCAGAAAUGAGUGGUGACAUAGAGAUGAAGGAUUCCACCUUGAACAAGAAAGACUGGGCGGUUAAAGACCUACCUUAUCUUGUUUAUAUAAUGAUUUGCGUGAAACUUAACAUUAGAAGUCUUCUUUUUAAUGAUUUCCGGAUGGUAGCGGAAAAGCUUGGAACGAAUAGAGAUAUCAUAGACUGGAUUGGCCAGGGUGAGAAUCCAACCCACAAAAUAUUCAGCUCUUGUCACCCUGGUGCUAAAGUUGGCAGGCUGAUUGAAAUACUAUAUGAAAUUGAUCGAGCCGAAGUGGCAAAGGUUCUGGAAGAUUGGGUAGCUGAGCCUUGAACAUUUUUUUUUACUUGUGUUGAAAAGAUUGGCUGGUUCUUUUUUGUGACAGCCCUUUUACAAAUUAUUCUUGAUACAUUUAUUUUCUAAUCACAUGGUAUUUUGUUGGCAACGGUUUGAUGUAUUUUUUGUGCUGUUUUAACUUUUUUACAAUGUUAGAUUGACUUAAUGUAAUUUUUCAUAGAUUUUUAUUGAUCGACUACUCGCUUUUAACAUUGUCACCUUGCCUUGUUUAUUGCCAAGUAUUCAGUUAAUUUAGUGUGGUUAUGACAAGUUUAAUUUUUCUACGGUCACCUGUCAGAGCGAGGUUCCUGUAUAGGCAUCUAAAAUGCUAAAGCAGUUUUAGUUAGCACUCUAAAAAAUGUAAUCCUGUGCCCGCUUGAUGCGUGGCCUAGUGUAUGGCAGCUUGACGCCCUUAAAAUAUAAUAAAUAAAGUUUUUUUUUUCUGAAUAUGAACAUUUAGAUCUCCCAAUCUAGACAAUUGUACAUUUUUUAGCGCAAUCUCUUCCAAAGGAAAAAUAUCAGACGCUGUACGUUACAAUAAACAUAGCAUAGCGUGCAAUUUCUUCAGCAAUGUGUCGGCCAUUUCGUACUCCUACACCUGGGUGAACAGGCGAAGGUGUAGUAU